rnacentral:misc_RNA from 1 species
AAGAGUUAGGGUCUUCGGGCCCAACCUCCAACCCUUUGUUUAACUACCACGUUGCUUUGGCGGGCCCGUCUCGCGACCGCCGGAAGUUUUGGAUUUCCCGUAAUUUUCCGGCCCGUGCCCGUCAAUAGCCCCUUAUAUACUCUUGAUAAAUUAUGAUGUCUGAGUUACAACCUUAAUAAGUUA